rnacentral:rRNA from 1 species
AUGGAAGCCUACGUAGAUGAGGUGAGGAAGCUGGAGGAACGCUUUGACGGUAUCCAGGCGGAGCACGUCCCCCAAGCGGAAAACGACAUCGCCGAUUACCUAUCAAAGCGUGCCGCAUUCAAGCUACCUGUGGAACCAGGUACCUUUUUGCUCCGGUUAACUCAACCAUCCGUCGAACUAUCAGCGGGGCAGAACAAGCGGAGGAAAUCAAGUCCCGGCAAGUACUUUCCUACCGAGCCCCCUGGGGCUGCCGACAAGGGUGCUGCCGCGGACGCUGAGCCUGCACAAGAGCAACUGGCUCCGGCAUGGCGUCAAGCCCUGGCCGUAGAGACAGCCGCUCCCAUGGCAGAAGAGAUGCCUUUGGUCCUUGCCGUCGAGCCCCAGGCUCCGACAUGGGCGCAACAUACCGUCCAAUUCCUCCAAACAGGGGAGCUUCCUGAGGAGCGGGAAGAAGCGGAGAAAGUAGCCCGUCGGUCCGCGCUGUACCAGUUCGUCGAUGACGUCCUGUACCAGAGAAGACCGAACGGUGUGAAACUCAAGUGCAUCGCCCGGGAGGAAGGACUAGAGCUGUUGGCAGAGAUACAUGGAGGCAUAUGUGGCUCCCACAUAGGGUCGAGGGCCCUUGCCGGGAAGGCGUUCCGGCAAGGUUUCUUCUGGCCCACCGCCCUCCAGGAUGCGACGGCACUAGUAACCAAGUGUGAAGCAUGCCAGUUCCAUUCAAAAAAGUUUCAUCAACCAUCUCAAGCCCUUCAAACAAUCCCUCUCUCCUGGCCAUUCUCGGUUUGGGGGCCCGAUAUACUGGGCCCUUUCCCCCGCGCUGUCGGGGGCUUUGAGUACUUGUACGUUGCAAUCGACAAGUUCACAAAGUGGCCGGAGGUGGAAGCAUUGAGGAAGGUGACUGCUCAGUCAGCCGUCAAGUUCUUCAAAGGACUGGUCUGCCGUUUUAGUGUGCCAAACAGAGUCAUCACCGACAACGGCACGCAGUUCACAAGCCACACCUUCUUGCAGUACAUCCAAGACCUCUGCAGCAAGGUCUGUUUUGCUUCCAUGGCACAUCCACGGAGCAACGGCCAAGCGGAGAGGGCAAAUGCUGAAAUGUUGCAAGGCCUGAGAACGAAGACCUUUGACAAGCUGCACAAGAGUGGAAGGCGCUGGAUUGAUGAGUUGCCGGCGGUUCUUUGGUCGAUCAGGACGACGCCAAAUCGAGCCACCGGCCAGACACCUUUUGCCCUGGUAUACGGGGCAGAAGCAGUUCUCCCACGGAACUCAUAUAUGGGUCACCUCGAGUGCUCGCUUAUGAUGAGCUUGAGCAAGAGCUGUUGCGCCAAGAUGACGCGACGCUCCUUGAGGAAGAUCAUCUUCGGGCGGCUGUGA